UAAAACUUCGCCUCAAGGCCCAGGGCGGCUGUUAGUAAUCCAGCUGCAAAGCCAGAUGUGCCCCGGGGGGGCCGUGGCUGUGUCUCAGCCCCAAGGGCCUCAGGCCGUUUGCGAGGUGAGCCAGAACCCACGGAGGCCUUCCGGCUUUCUCUUCAGGCUCGCGCCUUGCCCGGGGCCAUCUCCCGGCCCCUCACAGGCCUCCCUUGGCAGACGCUGGUCACUGCUCCAAACUGUUCCGUUCUUCACGCCCUUUCUUCCUUUCCCUGCGGUCAAAACAGCUAGUGCCUCCAGGUGCUGCUCCCUUGCAGGUGAGGAGCCCUCAGAUCCAGUGAACCAGUGAUUUGAGACAUGCCACGAAAUUCCCCUCUAAGCUUGAUCGCCGAAUGAUUAAUACUAGAGUGACUUGCUGUUACUGUCCAGAAGAAUUUCAAAACCAUUUAUGCUGAAUACCAAAGAAAAUCCUGAUGAGAAGUCAAGUGAUGCAUAGUAUAUAAAUUUGGAGGGAAUCAACAUGAGCCCAGUAUUGCCUUCUUUUCCUGGACCAUAGCU